rnacentral:misc_RNA from 1 species
UUUACAUACAAAUUUCCAGCUAGCACGCAUCAUUUGUUGUCUCUCUAUGUAGAAUUUUUAUACAACUCUUUAGUACAUAUCUUUUUACGCAUAUAUUCACAAAUCCGUGGCCAGUCGAAUGGAGGAGGCUCCAGUGGGUAAACAAGUUCGAUUGCAGGACUUGCCGGCUGAUGUGCUGCAUAUGGUCAUGGGCCAUUUGGACCUAUACCACCACAAGUUGCUGCGGGAAACUUCGGAGGAACUGAAGCAGAUCAGCACGGCGUACAUACUGCAUCAUCACAAGGCCUACGAGGUGGCCCAUUCGGAAGGACUCUCGGAGGAGCAGAGUAGCGCGAAAAGGAUCAUGCUGCAGGUCCUGCGCACGGCUAUUAGCUACUUUUCCGACGAGGACAGUGAAUCCGACGUGGCCAUCAGUCUACUGCACUUUCACUCUAAGGAGGCCGUUUUUUAUAAUGAAGCUGACCAUCUGGGCAAGUUCCUUGUCCAUUUCCUGAUCCUCAAUGAGCAAGCCUUCAACGUAUUCAGUGCUGAGAGACUGAAACUUAGGCGCCUCCAUUACACAAUGGCAAUUUUCGGCCUAUUGCGAGAUCCUGGGAUUCGGCAAGACCUUUUGGCACUGGAACGUGGAGGUCGAAUUGAGCCACACCUUCAUCGGUGUCAUUGAAGAAGCAAAAUCCAGCUUCAAUACUGUGGAGUCCCAACGACGCAUCUACUUCAUCUCCAUUCUGGCCGAGCUGCUCUUCCACGAGAAGAGCAACCAGAACUAUGGUGGACAGAGGGGCUUGGAAGGCACUUUGUACACCUACAGUAUUCAGCCAAAUUCAAAAGCCAAGCGCACUCCUCGAAUGUUUAUAAAGUUUAUAGUGGAUGGUCCGCAGUUUCUACUUGAAUAUCUGAAGGACCUAAUCAGCGGAGAGGAAGAUCCUCAGAAUCCGUUCGUCUUGCCACCAGGAACAGACUUUGCCAUUCGAGUUGAGACCAGGUGCUUGAAAGGACCCCAGUUUGUAUAUUACGGAAAUCUGAAUUUUAAUGUGUUGAGAUGGAGCGAACUAGUCGAAUGAAGAUGUAUCUGGACGAAAAUGCUAAACAAAUUAACGAUUCUGUAACAUUUAGUUGGAAUACAAGAUAUUUGACGUUUUAUAUACAAAAA